rnacentral:lncRNA from 1 species
UCUUUGACUUCCUUCCCUUUCUUUUUCUAUCUAUUUAUUUAUAUAUUCCUGUCACCUGCUUUGUAAGUAAGCUAACGGUCUCUGCAAAUUACAACAUCGAUCCCUCCAAUCACUGAUUUAUUAUCAUAAAGAAGCUCGAUUUAUUUCCCGCCAAACUUAAUCCAACCAUGAAUCGUGAUCCUGGUCGAGGUCGAGGUCGAGGACGAGAUCUAGGUCGAGGUCGAGGACGAGAUCGAGGUCGAGGUCGAGGUCAAUGGCGCAGUCCCGGAGGAGGCGAGCAUUGGGUUCCCAAGGGGAGAUCUUCGGAUCCUUCUUCCCACAGUAACUACUCUGUAACUUCAUCGUCCCUCUUCUUUUAUUUCAUUCCUGGUGUUUUUCUUUUAUUGAUUGAUGUAUGUUGGAAUCUUCAAGUUUUGUGAUUCGUGGGCUUUUUAUAUUAUAGCAAUAUUUUUCUUGUUUGGUGUAAAUUGAUUGUGAUAAUCAUCAUGGAUAAAUUAAUUUAAACUUAUUUUAUCUAUUUUUUUGCAUGCAUAUUAUUUAAUUUGUUUUUUAGGACCCAUUUUGGUGGGUUUAUUUCUUUCCUUUUUUUUUUAUAUAAUUAAUCCUGAUAGUUAUUGCAUAUUUUGUUUAUUUUAUUAAUAAAUGGGUAUGAGGAGGUUAGCAUUGAUGGGAAAGUUUGCUAAUGUCAUGUAAUUUGGAAACGGCGUAGGUUGGAGCAGAUGAGUCUUCUUCUGAUGAGAAACCUUUUAGCAACAGAGGAAGAAACUCGCAGCGGAAUUCACGAGGGUGGUUUCCAAGUUAUCCCAACAGCACGGGUAACAUUUUUUGGUCUUCUUCUGAUGAGAAACCUUUUAGCAACAGAGGAAGAAACUCGCAGCCGAAUUCACGAGGGUGGUUUCCAAGUUAUCCCAACAGUGCGGGUAACAUUUUUUGCCAGAGGGAACCAUUAGAAAAUAAGUCAUUAGAAGAUAGCAUGUCCAGUACGGGAAGGAUCCUGCACGACCGAAGUGCUCCCAGUUGCAGCAGUAUUGGGUCAAAUCAGUCAGAUUGUUCUGUGGCUUCAAAUUCAGUUAACAAGGGCGAUUCUGCAUUGAUGCCAGCUAUUUCAGGUUCUAGGGAUAUGAAGUCUGAUAUUGUUAGCGCUCCCUUGGAAAAGGGAGCAAAGGAUGGUGCAAUGCACCUUGAUUUCUCUCUCAAACUGAAUAGUACUGUCCCAUUGCAAAAUCAGAAUGACUCUCACCUGACAAUGCAUAAGAGGCUGUAACAAUGGAGUUUGCCUCUGUGGUAGGUAUAGUUACAAUCAGCUGCUUCUUUAAUGACCAUGAUAGACUUAGUAAGAAACCAUAACCUGAAAUGCUUUUUUAUCAUCCUGGUAUCCUGUAUAAUUAUUAUUGUUCGUGUAAACCAAUAAGUCUCUAUUUCCUUUCAUUUUGUAGAACAUCCCAAAAUUAAUUGUUUUCUUUAGAUAUCUUAAGACUUUGCUGCCUGUAUAUGAAGCUCAGUAGAACUACUCAUAUACCUGCUAAUAAGACUUACCAUAAACAUAAAGUAUGGUCGAGUAGACAUGAGACUUCCUACAACCUGUUUGUACAAAGUGUUGUCUAUUUUGACUCCGUCUUCAUCUCUUAACAGUUUGCAACCCGAGACAAUUGAUUAAGAACCAAAUUGCUUUUACUCAUUCCAAAUCUCACCAGGACAUCCAAAGUAUAUUUUCUUUGGCUAAUGAAUAUCCCAUAAGAUCUUUGCGUAAUUUUUAUACCAAGAAAAUAUCUCAUCUUUCCAAUAUCAGUCAUGUCAAACUCAAACAUCAUUUAACUCUUAAAUUUAGCAAACAUAGAUUCAUCAAUUUCUAGUAAAAAUGAGAUCAUCAACAUACAGGCUCACAAUUAAAAUUUUACCUUCAUUUACUGUUUUUAUGAACAAGGUGUGUUCAUAAAGAUAUUUUUCAAAGCCUUCCUUUAUGAAAUAAACGUCUAUACAACUAUACCAAGCUUGUGGAGCUUGUUUAAAUUCGUAUAAAAACUUUUUAAGCCUAUUAACCUAUUAUUCCUUAAUCUUAUGCACAUAAACUUGAGGCUACUUGUAAGACCCAUGUUUUGGCCCAACAGACCCAGCUAAAAGUUCAACCCAAAACCCGACCUAACUAACCUAAGUAUUUAAAGAAAGGUUACUAGGGAAUUGUUUUUUUCUUUUUUUAUCUUUUCUUCUCUCCACUGUAACUUUCUCCUAUAUAUACCAAGGAUUUCAGUUUUAGCUCAAGUUUUAAGUAAAAAGGUUAAAGAAAUAAAUAAGUGAUUCCCCCUCUUAUUAUUUUCGAUUAUAAAAUUGAUUAUGAAAAGACUUAAGAAGUGUUUAGGAUUUUGCUUUGGAUUGAUGAUUGGAUUAUUUAAGGAAUUUAAUUGAAGCAUUAGGGUGUUAGUUUGCAUAAAAUGAUCUGAUUUGAUGAUUGAAAUCAUGGGUUGUUGAAUGAUUGGAAUCAUGGGUUGUUGAAGAUUAUAUUGUGGUUUUGUGUAAUUUGCAGUUUGGAAGACUAGUAGAUCACGAUUCUAGAAAUUCCGAUCAACUAGUCGACCAGUUGGUUGAACCGGCCGACUGGUUAUUUGUUUGCUGUCAAUCGACCAGUUAUUUUAAAUCAACCGACCGGUUGGUUAUUUAUUGUCGAUCAAUCAUAGUCUAAACUGACCAACCGAUUGGUCAUUAUGGUCGACCGGUUGACCCAACAAUAGAGUUUUAUCGGGUUUGUUAUAUUUGAUCAAUUUAGGUUAUGUUUAGGAUCAACCGGGUAAAACAGUUCAACCUUAUAUUUAUAUUUUGGUCUCUAAGUUUAGAGUUUUUAAUCUUUUUAUGAUACUUUGCUUUGAAUUGUUUUUGAGUGUUUUCUGUAUCUGUUAUAGGUUCUGCUGAUAUUCCUCCUAACGAUCUUUAGCAACCUCUGGUUCUACAUCCGUUUGUUUUUCUGCUUUCAUUUUCCGAGUGAGUGAGAUAAUCUUUAAUAUGCAUGUAAUAUAAAUAAUAUUUAUAUGUUGAUUAUAUGAUGAGUACAGCUAGUUAAUUUCUUGAAUAUUUAUAUAUGUUGCUUUAUUUUUCGAGUACUCAUCCAUUCUUGAAUUUGCACCUGUAUUUUGUUGAACUAAAUUUUAUUUGAUAUGAUAUACAUUGCUUUGAUAAUUAUGUGAAUAUCUAUUAUGUCUUGAUAUCGAUAUACUUGUCAUUAACUCCUUGCUAACGGAGAGUUAUUAGUUUAUAUGCACAUAGUAUUUUGUAUACCUAGCUAGUGAGAAAGAUGUCGACCUGUGGUGACUGGUCCUCUCACAGUGGUCACUUUCGAGUGUCAUCUAAUAUUUGACAUGUAUUCCACUACCUUAUGUUAAUAUGCUUAUUAUGUAUAUUUAUAUUAAGAUAUAUCGACUUACAAGCUAUUAAUAUCUAAGAUGUAUGUUAAAUGUUAUUCUCUCACUAAGUUGAUUGAACUCACCCCUAAUUUUUAAUAUUAUUUUAGGUUUUUAGUUUUUGUUAGCAUAUGAACUUUGUUGAGUGUUCCAACUUUUUCAGUUUUGGUCGAUAUAUUUUGCUUGCUCUACGAGGCUUUUCUUUAAGUUUUGUUUUAUUCUGAUGAUGAAAUAUUUUGAAAGUUUACGAUACAUUAUGGAUUUUAUAUAAUUUAUUUUAUGAUAUGUAUAUUCAGAAGUAUAGCGUAGGUAGGGUGUCUUUAUGACACUGCUCAACAAACACUUCUUCAUUUAACUCCUUUUGCAGAAAUGCUAAUUUCACGUCCAUUUGAUAAAUUGUCUAUUGAUUUUUAGCUGCAAGUGCUAUUAUUAGACUGAUCAAAUCCAACUAUGCUAUAAGUGCAAAUACCUUUAUAAAAUCUAACCUAUGAUAUUGAGAAUAGCCUUUGGCGAAGAGGCUUGUCUUUUACUUGUCUACUUUUUUAUUUUCAUUAAGUUUUGUUUUAUAUAGCUAUAUACUAUCAAGGUCUAUGCAUGAGCCAAUACUAGGUAUUUAUGAAUGGAAUUUCUUGUAUAUUUAUACUCAUUUUCAUAUAUUAUCAUCAAUUUUGAAUAUCUCUUAAUUAAAUACUAUUUAUUAUUCAAUAUCAAAUAAAAUUGCUUAUAACAUCUGAUUUUUCUUUUCACUUUACCUCCAUGUUUUAAAAAAUCACAAUUUAUAUCAUAUAAUUUCUUAAAAUUAAUGAAAAGACCAAACUACCCUCACUCUAUUCUCUCUCUUUCCCAUUCUUUAAUCUCUCAUCCGUCUACCACCAUUAAAAAAGCCUCCACAUAUCCAACCAUCCUCACUAAUGAGAGGCAAAUAAAUUUGACAGAGAUUUUUUUAAUUGUAAAUAAAGAUGAUAACAAGAAGCAAUUAGCAUUAUAGAGUUCUCAAACAAAGACAAGAACAAAAAAAUGGAUGGCAGAAGAAGGGGGAUAAGGAUGUCAACUCUUUAUGCAGCUAGGAUUUUUCAACUAACGAGAGAACUAGGGCAUAAAUUUGAUGGAGAAAUAAUUUAGUGGUUGUUGCAACAAGCAUAACUAUCGAUUAUUAUUGCAACUGGUAAAGGGACUAUUCCUGCCCUAUGGUACUGGGAUUGCAUGAAAGAAUGGUAGGGUUAGGACCCGAUGUUAUAGGGUCCAAAGAUAGAACUAUCUGGACCAUGAUGAAUAUUAAGAUCCGUUUAUUUUUGUGUUUCAAAGUGUUUUUUUAAAAAUUAAAAAUUAUUUAUUUUUUUCUUUACCUUAAAUUAACGUUUUUGUGUUUUCAGAUCUUUUUAAUGUGCUGAUGUCAAAAAAAAUUAAAAUAAAAAAAUAUUAUUUUAAUACAUUUCUGAGAAAAAAUACACUUUGAAAAGCAACUGAUAUCACACUUUUAAACGCCCAUAAUUCAAGAAGAAAAGGCUUGUUUAGGAGUGUGGUUGCGGUUGCUUUUCAAAGUGUAUUUCGUGCCGAAAUGCAUUAAAAUGAUAUUUUUUUAUUUUUAAAAAAUUAUUUUUGAGAUCAGCACAAAACGAUCCAAAACGCACAAAAAAAAUUAAUUUUUAGCAAAAAAAAUAAUUUUUUAAUGAACGUGAUUUGCACCGCGUUUCCAAACAAUAUCUAAUAUGGCAAGUGGGAUUUGGCCCUCUGUUGGCAGAAUUGGAUCAAAGUUUGUUCCUAAUUUUGGUCGGUCAACAUUAAAUUUUGGAAACGAGAACUCUAAUAUUCUAUCAAAUUAUGGGUUCCAUGGGAAUAAGUUUCCCAAUAUUUACAUGGGCUCAAUGAGUUUUUACUCCAUGUUUAGUGGCACUAACCAUCAACUUCCAAGCUUGGAACUUGGACUAUCUAGCAGAUAGUCCAAGGUCAUGGUGUCUUAAAUCUGAUGAAUCAAGGUUGUUGACAGAGAGGUGUUUAAGAUUGAGAAGAAAGCGUGGCAGUUGCUUUGAGGCUCCAUUGUGAAUUACUGUGGAAAUCUAACUAAUGGGUAUUUGUUUUUUGUUUUUUUUUUUUGGAAUAUUGGGUUGAAUUCAAUUGGUUGAAUCUCCAUAAAAUAAUUUUGGAGUUGGGUUCAAGAUUUAGAAAAGGGAGGAGAAAAUGUUGAAUGUGAUGGUUUUUUUUUUAAUGAUAAGGUUGUAAUAUUUAAUAUAAGGAUUCUUUAACUAUCAUAUAAAAAAUAAUGUCAGAUAUUUUUUAUUAAUUUUUUUUAGAAUGUUAAGUUUUAUUGCAUGAAUAAAAUUUAAGAUGUAAAUUAUAAUUUUUUAAAAUAAAAAAAUAAUCAAACUAUAAGAUUAAGUGUAAUUUUCUCCAAUAAUAAAUAAAAAUAAGAAGAAGAAAGGUAUUCUCUUAUUCUCCUAUUCAAUUAUCAUUUGUAAAUUUAACACAUUAUUUCAACACAAUAAGAGCAUGUUUUAUUUAGAAAUUUAUUGAAAUAAUUUUUUUUAUUUUUAAUAUUUAUAUAUUAAAAUGAUUUUAAAAUAUAAAAAAAUUAAUUUAAAAAGAAAUUAAAUUUUAUAAAAUUCCUUUUCAACCGAAAGAGAAACUGCUAUGAAAGUAAAGCGUAGAAAUCGACAAGACAGAAGUAUUCGUAGUGAUUUCAUCAUCAAUAAAACCUUAAAAACAGUGUACCAAAAGAAAGACUCAUAAUUGCAGACUCUUUGACUUCCUUCCCUUUCUUUUUCUAUCUAUUUAUUUAUAUAUUCCUGUCACCUGCUUUGUAAGUAAGCUAACGGUCUCUGCAAAUUACAACAUCGAUCCCUCCGAUCACUGAUUUAUUAUCAUAAAGAAGCUCGAUUUAUUACCCGCCAAACUUAAUCCAACCAUGAAUCGUGAUCCUGGUCGAGGUCGAGGACG